CCUACGGGAGGCAGCAGUAGGGAAUAUUGCUCAAUGGGGGAAACCCUGAUGCAGCAACGCCGCGUGGAGGAUGAAGGUUUUCGGAUUGUAAACUCCUAUUAUUAGAGAAGAAAAUGACGGUAUCUGACGAAUAAGCACCGGCUAACUACGUGCCAGCAGCCGCGGUAAUACGGAGGGUGCAAGCGUUAUCCGGAAUUACUGGGCGUAAAGAGCGCGUAGGCGGGAGAGCAAGUCUGAAGUGAAAGGCUAUGGCUUAACCAUCGGACUGCAUUUGAAACUGUACUGCUAGAGUGUAGGAGAGGUAGGUGGAAUUCUUGGUGUAGGGGUAAAAUGCGUAGAGAUCAAGAGGAACACUCAUGGCGAAGGCGGCUUGCUGGAACAUAACUGACGCUGAUGCGCGAAAGCGUGGGGAGCAAACAGGAUUAGAUACCUGAGUAGUC
rnacentral:rRNA from 1 species